UUUGCACUCACUAGCACACUCUUUUUUUACUAUCCUUCUCUUACUACCCUUUCUUUCGAAUCGUAUUUCUCUCUCUCUCUUUCUCUCUCUUUCUCUCUCUCUCUCUCUCUCUCUUUCUCUCUCGUUCUCUCAUUCUCUCUCUCUCUUUCUCGCAUACUCUUUUGCUCCUCGACGGAGCGCGAGUCGGAGGAAGAGAGGCGCACAGGAUGGCGGGGCGAGAGUCGGCUUACUACGCGGCGAAACGCCUCGACGGCGUUCAGUCGUCAGCGAUCAGACCGCCGGGCAGUGCGGACCCACUCUUCCGAACAGUCACUCACUCUCUCUCCUACUCUCCUCUCUUUAUCUCGUAUACAUUAUACCCUGCAACUCCUACGUACCUGUCCAACUCAUAUUCGCGAUGUAUAUAUAUAUAUAUAUGUAUAUAUAUAUAUAUAUACACACAUAUAUACAUACACACGUCAAAGGACUUCUCAACUAUACUGGAAUAUUUAUUUCUACGAUAUUGGAAUGGUUUUCGAAGAAUCAAUCCACUCUUCCUUCCCUUCAAUCCCAAUUGCGAAUUUCUCGAAUUUGGAAAUCGCCGUCCGCGGAUUCGGUCACGAGGAGAAUACGUUCGAAAUACGUGACUCGAUCUUAACCGAGAAAUAGAGAGAGAGAGAGAAAGAGAGAGAGAGUGAAAGAGAAAAAGAGAGAGAAAGAGAGAGAGAGAGAAAGAGAGAGAGAGAGAGAGAGAGACAGAGAGAAACAGAGAGAAGAAUCGAACACGUUUUGGAAGAUCGUCAAAGAUCGUAAACUAAUACGAAUUCGAACGAAGGAUGGACGGAUUCACUCGGCUAUUUAUCUGAGGAAAGAUAAAGUGAACGUCCUCGAACGAAGACACAUCAUCGAGACGAGGACGACGGAAUUAUCUUACAACGUCGGAAGAUCUUGUAAAUAACGGAAGAGGAUAGAGUGUACGAUUCUAUACGACGAAAGUUUUUAUUUUGUAGUUCUCUUUUUUUUCUUUUUCUUUUUUUUUUCUUCUUCUUCAUCAUCAUUUUUGACAAUUUUAUUUCUCUCUUACUUGGUUCUUCGUGAUGUAUAAACGGAGUCGAGGAGAAUUUAAUCCGCGAACAACGGAACAACGGGUGUUACACAGGUCCAAGUGGAAUUUGUAACGAGCCGAGAAGUUUGUGCGACUUUACGUACCGGAGCACGUGGUAUUCGAAUUCCCGGAAUCAACAACAUAUUCUCGUCAAUGAAAGAGGACGAUAGACUUCGACCUCAAUGAAGACGAAACGAGAGCAAAAACAAGAAACAAAGAAAAAAGAAAAGAAAAGAAAAAAGAAAGAACAAUCGCACGAAAGAAGAAAGGGCGGUGAGUCGAGUCAGUUUACACGACUCGUUUUUAUGUGCGGAUAACGAAGGAAACAGUGUUACGAAGAUAGAAAUAAAUAAAGUAUUUAAUGUGCGGUAGUAAUAUCGUAACAGUGUGGGAGAAAGCUGCACGACAAUAUUUUCUCGAAGGGAAAUUCAUAAUCGGGCGUAUUUUUUUGUCGAGCGAGGAAAACGUACGCGCGGACGCGUUAUCCGCCGACGGAUGGACGAUUCGACGAUCGAGAAUGCGACUUGCGAGACUCAGCCACGCUCGCGGAGAGGAAUACGCGCGUCUCUUCGCGUGCGGACGGGAUAUCGCGAAUGAGACGAAUAGCAGGAGAAGCCGCUGACUCGUGGUUCGUCAAUUAGCGUGUCACGCUCGUUAUCGUGGAAAAUAAUUAGGCUGAACGCACCGGAGAACGGUUCGUUAGCUCGUCUUCUUUCGAGUACACAUAAGCGUUCGCGAUCUCUCUAGAAGCGAAUGGCGAAGUGAAUAUCGUAAAAGAGAGGAAGAAAGGGGACGGAGGAUGGGCGUAUAAGCGACAAGACGUCUCGACGAUAAAUACAUACGUUUAGGUGAAUACUUCUACACACACACGCGCAUACAUAUGAGCACACAUAUAGACACACAUAUAUAUAAUAUAUAAGCAAGCAACGUUUCUUGUGGAAGUGCCAAACGAGGUAUGCACGCGAAUCCGGUCAUUAAAUAAAGGUAAUCAAGUAAAUUUCUUUUACGAGAGUGUUGACGAUUAUUACUUCUCGCUCGCUAUCUGAAUCAUGAUGUCAAAAGGAAACUUUAAAUGAUAGAAAAUGUAUAUCUUAGAAUAUACAUAGAUAAGAGAUGAGUAGAAGAAGAGAUUAUUUAGAUGACGUUUUCAUUUUACAACUUUACCGUCUCGUUACUUACAUAGUAAUCGAUUGAAAAUAAAGCGACUAAGUUUAAUAUCGGAUAACCCGUAAUGAAUGAUAACUUACGACGUGGUUUAUAUCUUCUUUUCUUAUGAGAAAUAGAAGAAAGAGGAGGAGGAGGAGAAUCAGGAGGAGGAGGAGGAGGAGGAGGAGGAGUUAACGAACGCGACGAAAAGAGGGAAAACGGUAGGAGUCGUUCGCGCGCUCGAGCGACUCGCCUAAACACGCUAUAUAAGCCGGCACGCAUACGUUUCCAUAGAACAAAUAACUUGAGAUACGUUGCAGGCAAAAUGCAAUGAGUUAUGGCGCGGCAACAGAGCGGGCAAUAAAUUAUCUUUAACGACGUGGCGCGGUUAACGCAAGAGGAGGAGUAGGAAGAGGAGAAAGAGGAGGGGGAGAAGGAGGAGGAUGGUGAGAUAGGAAGUCCGAGAUGGCUCAUGAUCAUCCGCAUCACGAUGAUGAUUCCGCGAGAAUUAUCUCAUUAUCUUAUAAUACUAAUUUAUUUGUGUACGGUGGUGUCACUAAAUUAUCGAUAUCGACGAUAUCACGAGCUGCCUAUUACGUGUUAGAACUUUUCUAAUCGCUAAGUUCGAUCGGUAUUUCUCUUCCUCUCUCUCUCUCUCUUUCUCUCACCCUGCCUGUUACACUCAGUUAGGCAUGUAGAUAGUUUGAAUUUCGCCGAGUAGACGCGCGCUCGUUAGCUUGAAUGGCACGAUGCAUCGCGAGAACUAUGCUGCUUUAGAACGUGAGCGAGACUUAGGAAUGAGAAGAGAGAGAGAGAGAGAGAGAGAGAGAGAGAGAGAGAGAAAGUUCGUUUAUCGUUAGUUCCAAGAUAAAAGAUAAUAGACAAUGAGAUUUUUGAAUAGGGAAUGCUAUUUGUUGGAAAUUAACGAAUCGUUAACUCGUUUUUACAUAGAAGAGGAUGGAAGAUAGAGAGGGAAAAUUGUCAGAGCUUGUAAAAGCACUGCAGUAACGUGGGGAACGAAAUUCGGGCCCCGAUCGAAUGGCCCUGGGAUGAAUUUGCAUGCGGCCUUUUUAGCUCCAGGUGUCCCAGAAUUUGCAUACGAAAGGGUGGCUUUCGCGGAUUCCUCCCCUUUUCCCUCGUAACUCUUUCACUCUCCAUCUCUAUUUCUCUUUCUUUCUAUCUGCCUACCUCUUUUUACCCCUCCACCCUCCUCACCCCCUUCUGUAUGCGCGCGCAUCCGUGUAUUCUCGUUUAUGGGUUACCGGCUCAGCGUGUCGCGUCGUUAACUCGAUGUUAAACUUUCGUUAACGUUGAUCUUUAACAAUCACCUUUCUCGCGUCGGUGCGCCUUUGCCGAUCGAAUUCGCAAUCGACGAGAUAAUCUUGAAUGCCGAUUCGAAUUGAUUAUCAAUAACGUAUGUAGAAAAAGACAUGGUGAUCGAUAGUACCAACACUGCUUGCCGUGAAAUGUCGUUAACUUUUGAAGGAGGACGAAGAGAGAGAGAGAGAGAGAGAGAGAGAGAGACAGAGAGAGGGUUGGUUGCAGAGAGGAGAUACAGAAAAAGAAAGGAAAGAAAAAGAAAGACAUUUAUCGGUCUGCCUUAGCAGCACAACAGCAAGAACAACGGCCUUUUACUUCGAGCGUCGAAAUGUCGAAACACCAUUUUCCCAUUGAUUUAUUCGUUGUGAAAAGUAAGAGAGAGAGAGAGAGAGAGAGAGAGAGAGAGAGAGAGAGAGAGAGAGAGAGAGAGAGAGGGAGAGAGAGAGAGCGAGAGAGAGAGAGAGAGAGAGUGAGAGAGAGAUAAAACAAGAGAGCAAGAGAGAGAAAUAUAUUUAUCGCGCGAGAACGAGUUUAUCUUUUCUCUAUCGUUCGAUACGAAAUCCAACAACGUUCCGCCGCUAAUCAUUAAUAUCAAGUAGAUAUAUACCUAUCUACCUAUCUACUUACUACAGAUUGCGCAAACAUCGUUGAAACAACAAACAACGUUAUUUCCAGUUAACGCGCGCGAACGUAAGCGCACGCGCGAGCCAUCGAUUGUGGGCACAGGUGAAAAUGAGCGAUCGUAGUAGGAGAGAACAAAGUGUCGAAACCGAAAGCGGAUAAUGAUAGCCGCCGACGGCCGCCGUUUAUUUUUGGAACCCAUUUUUAUCGAGAACGCUUUAUCGUCUCGAAACUCGCGAGUUUGCUUUAUUCUUUCCUUUAUUUUUCUUUUCUUUUUUCUUUUUUUCUUUUUUCUUUUUUUUUUCUUUCAUUUUCUCUUUAUUUUUAUUUUAUUUUGCACGCACGAAAGAAGCGAUAAGCCGACGCAAGUAUCGUUCGUUGGCUUUUAGAUUAUUAUUAAACGAGCGUCCAUCCUCUUGGACACUUUUUCCGCCUUCGUUCACCCCUGACCGCAUCACCCUUUCUCUCUCUCUCUCUCUCUCUCUCUCUCUCUUUCUCUCUCUCUUUCUCUUCCUCCCCCUACCUAAUUAUUUAAUCUGGCCCGUAACCUCCUCGAUGUCAUUGCGCUUGACGCGUUUGCGCGCGCGGGCGCGCCUCGCGUGAUGAAAGAGAGGGCCGCGGCCAUCUUGUCUGACGUCAUCUCACGCCGAGCACGCAACCGCGAAACGCCGACUUCCUCGUUGCGAUAACACCUUAUUUUUUAUCGCUCCCUCUCCCCUUCCCUUUCUGCUCUCUCUCUCUCUCUUUCUCUCUUUCUCUACUCUAUCCGUCUAACUAUCUACCUAUCUUUCUAUCUUUCUUUCGUUUCUCUCUCUCUCUCUCUCUCUCUCUCUCUCUCUCUGAUUCUCUUUCUCACGUAACUACUCUUAGCGAGUACGUAUCUCCGCGUACAUCUCCCUUUAUCUUCUUCUUUUUCCGAUUCUCUUUUCCUCCCCUUUUUCUUACCACGGUACGAUCGCACACACGCAUAUAACACAUACGUUGGACGAGCACGUACGCCUUCACUUUCGGUUGCGACGAACCGAGACACCCCUCCCGCUGUAUAGAAAAUGGCGGAAUUUAAUGGACAAGCGCUCGGCCGCUAUUCGUUGCUCCCUAUGAAAUUUAAGGUAGGCGGUGAUUCGAUUUUAUCGACAUCGUUUCACCACCUACUUCGUUCCUUUCCUUCGAAUAUUUCACUAUCUCCCUCCUUUCCUUCCUCUCUUCCUUUUGCCUUCUCCUAUGGCGUUCUUCCCUCGUUUACACGUUAUGAAAAUACUGAGCGUUAGAUAGAAGUAGAGAGAUACGAAAAUACAGAACGAUCCAUGCCGAUCGAUACGACGAAGCGCGAUCGUAAAAGGAAAUCUCUCAUUUUGUAUCUCUGCGUGCUAUACAGGAUAAAGGUGAAUAGGGGAAUAUCGUAAAAGAAACGUACGGCGAUUAGACAUUUCUUGGCGGUAAAGAGAUAAAAGAAAUAACGACACGACAACGAAUCGGAGUCGGUUUAUUUAAGAAAAAUCGGUGAAACUCGUUAGGGAUUUCUUCCUUCUAAAGGAGGAAUUUCUUCUUAGCUUAGAUCAUCGGUUCGAGGUUCUCAUCUUCCUUCUCUCUUUCUCUUUGAAAGUUAAGAGAAGUAGAGAAAAGGAAAAACAAAAAAUUGAGGAGGGAGACUCGCGGUUAACUGCGGUCGUUGGCGGUGUCACGCGAUACGAGCGGAGACGUCGGCAAUUUAAAUUCGCGGAAGGCCGUAAUCACCGGUGCGUUUUGCGUUUUGCGUUAUUGACGAACAUAAAGGGGUCCCAAAGUGUACGAGCGAGAAAGAGAGAGAGAGAGAGAGAGAGAGAGAAAGAGAGAGGUCUCGGGGUAAGCGCUUUUGCAGAUAUGUGUUUACAACUGAUAUUAAAUCAGGCUUCCUUUACAGUCCCAAUAAAAUGCGACGAGUUCUAUGAGGCCCUGAUAUCGUUGCGCGUUCAACCUGGAACCCGUUCGAGACAAGUUUAAGAAUAUUGAAGGAUAAGAGGAGAGCCGCGUGCACUUCAGCGAGUGACCGAUCGAGCAAAGAAGAUUGUCGGAACAUCGCUCAUUAUAAUACCGGUUUUUCCACAAAAACACAAGAUUUUAUAGCUCCUGGCGCCUUGUGCGCGCGACUCGUCAUCGAUACGCUUAAACUCGACUCGUGAAGAACUCGCUCCGUCGCUCGCGCUUGAUAAAAAGAAACGCGGAACGAGAUCGAUAGCUACGAUCAUCGUUCAACGCGAUACACCAAACGUUUCUCGUCUCUUUCCAUCUGGAUUUGACGGAAAGUUCAUUUGGAAAUAAACAAGCAAUAUCUUUUUAUCCAUUGACGAUUUUCCUCUUUUUACUGUAUCUUUUAUCAAGGUAGAAUGAUAUAUAAAAUUCGACGAGUUUGAGAGAUACGAUCGACGGGGUUCGUUCGUCGUAGAGACGUCUUAAACGUGCGACGUUAUACGAAGCUUGCUUGUUCGAGCUUUCCAAGAGGCGUUCGCGGCACAAAUUAACAAUUUGUAUGUCGUGCAAGUGGAGUUAUGAUUAUCGCCGUGUCGUACCCUGCGAGCGAGAUUACCCGUGGUGACUGUUACUUGUCUACUUUACUGCCUACCGUGCCAGCAUUCUCCCUUUCUCUCUCUCUCUCUCUCUUUCUCUUUUGGUCUAGCUCUCGCUCUCUCUCGCUCUCACACGCAUACACUCUUGCUAUAAUAUGCUAAUAGGGGGAUGCUAACUUCCCCGUGUAACGACGGAUCGUCGGAUCGUGUUUACGAGGUGAGCCGACCCCAGGGCUUCCCUUCGUACCCUCGGCCAUCGCGAGAACGAGCGUGUUAAAAGAGAUAGAAAUAGAAAGAGAGAGAGAGAGAGAGAGAGAAAGAGAGAGAGAGAGAGAGAAAGUGAGAUGGUGUCUCGUUGCAUCCUCGUAAUUAACGAUCGCUUCGAAAGAGAAAAUCGGGCGCGAACGAAACAAUGAACGAUUUCGCGUUCCAUCGAGGCGUGUCUCGAAACGCGUAUGGGAGGCGUCGGGACGCCAGUAAUUAAAUCGAAUCGUCGGUUAACAACUUUUUUUCCAGCGGUAGAGCUAGUCGAGCGAUACGCGCCGGGUAUGGUGUUGACGAUUGCACGCGUAGAGAAGCAUUUUCGUCCGAGCUCUUUCCUGCGUAUCGUGCGCGCGAGUAAACGACAUACCGACGUAUAGGAAGACAAAAGAGAUAAAACAAUAUUUAUUGUAGUAAGCUCUGAAGAAAGAAAAUAAUUCAGAAAUACAGGUGCAAAUUUAUAAAAUUAGUUAUACUAAAUCCAAACGAUAAUUAAGCAUAGUGAGGAUUGUUUGACGAUUAGGAAUUUAUGGGAAGGUGAUUUUUAAAAAUAGAAAUCUAGGCCGUCUGGGUGGAAAAAGAGAGAGAGGUAGCAGGAAUAAAAAAAAAUCAAAAGAGUCGCUUGUUUGCACGCAUCGAGACUAAACGGCACGAAUCGAACGAUCGAGCGAAUUGUCGGGUUGAAGUUGGACCGUACGAGAGGGUGUAUGUGUGCGCGAGCAAGCGAGCGAGCGAGCGGACGAAAGAGGAUGGGAGAGGCUGGCUACGGGCGUGGUGCGUUCACGAUAAAAAUGGCGCUUCGUUUGCCGCGAGGGUGGCCCCUUUUACUUCCCAACACUAAAUGCCGUGUGUGCGAUGUACUACCAACAGACCGCCCCGCUUUGCUUGCUUGAAAAGAGUGCCCUUCCCUAUCCCCACCCCUACAUGCACCUACGUGAACCCUCGAUUAAGUCUCCAAUAACUUAUUACCAACGAACACAGUACAGAUAGACAGAGGUUUCUGAAUUUUAAAUAAAUCGAAUCAUUUUCAAAGUUUUCUUCUUUUUUUGUUCUAUUUUUAAAGGGAAAAAAGAUUCGUGGUCAUAAAUAAUAUAAUAUCUAGUUACGAGGUACCGGUUUUAUUAAAAAAUAUUAAACCAAAAGAUGUUCCCGAACGAGAGAAAUUUUCUCGUUCAAUCGUCGUGCCGUCGACGCAUCGACGCGAGCACGAGGGUGGUGGGACGUGUGCUAAAGUUCGAUCGAUAAUUAAAUAAACGAGGAAGGUCAUCCCGAAGCCCGGCAGCUCGUCGACGAGCUACGAGCCCGAUGGCCCGGACUUUAUGGGGUUUCGACGUUUUCUCUCGUACUCGUCUACCAAAACUUUUCCCUCUCUAUGCUUUUAUUUCCCCUUCCUUUUCUUUUUCUUCUUCUUUCUUUCUUCUUCCCCUUUUACUUUUCACGUUCGUCGUCGCGGCAGCGCGUCUGGCUUUGCGCCGACGAAAUCUGAUUAAAAAUUCGCUUGGUUGCAUCUUCUUCAGCCCUUUAACUUCGACAAGAUUAGGUUUUCGUAGAAAGAUUCAUCGAAGAACCCUUCUAAUUUUUUCGUAUCACGUGGCGUAACGAGUUUGUAACAAGAAACACGGCGGACAACGAUAUACAACAAACGAUACGUUUGAAAAAUGUCGGAAAUCGAGAGAGGGAGACUAGAAUUACGGAAAAAAGAGAGAAUCAAAUAGCGGACAAAAAACCGCAUGCGUUCGCGAGCGGACGAGAUUCCGCGACAUUUUAAUCGACGUGGCAUCGUAUUUACUCUCCAACGUGGAACAUACCUGCUCGUACAUCUGUGUAUUUUGGACGGAGGAGGAGGAAAAAAAAAAGAAGUGAAAAAUCGGAAAAAAACAGAGAGAAAGGGAGAUAGAAUAAGCGUGAAAGUGAGAUAGAUAUAGAAAAAAAUGGGACAACAGAGAACAGUGGUGAGGUUUUGGUAGGUGGAUGAAAGAGCGUGCAACCCCAGUACAAUUCCAUUUCCGGAUGGAGUAAAGCCGAGUCGGACGAUCGUUCGAAAAGGCGGUCGAGCGAUAAACCGAUUCGGACGGACGCGUUUCGACGAAAGGCCGCGCGCGCGAGUUAACGCGGAUUCGAAAUCGGAGGUCCACGAAACGGGCGAUCAUUUUACGCGUCUGUUCGUUUCGUGUUAAACUCGAUGUUACUCCUAUCGCGAUCGAGUGUCUAUCUCCUAGGGAACGUUUCGAAAUGAUUGGCGAACGCUACGAAACAUUUUUCUCGUUUAUCGAAAAACAAUAUGAGGCACAUCCGUUUGUAAAAUCGAGUAAACAAUAUAUACAUAUAUAUAUAUAUAUAUAUAUAUAUACAUAUACAU